rnacentral:rRNA from 1 species
CGUGUAGGCGGGUCGUUAAGUUGGGGGUGAAAUCCCAAGGCUCAACCUUGGAACUGCCUUCAAAACUGGCGACCUGGACUCAAGCAGAGGCAAGUGGAAUUGCGAGUGUAGAGGUGAAAUUCGUAGAUAUUCGCAGGAACACCAGUGGCGAAGGCGACUUGCUGGGCUUGUAGUGACGCUGAGACGCGAAAGCGUGGGGAGCAAACA